UAGGGAAUCUUCGGCAAUGGACGAAAGUCUGACCGAGCAACGCCGCGUGAGUGAAGAAGGUUUUCGGAUCGUAAAACUCUGUUGUUAGAGAAGAACAAGGACGUUAGUAACUGAACGUCCCCUGACGGUAUCUAACCAGAAAGCCACGGCUAACUACGUGCCAGCAGCCGCGGUAAUACGUAGGUGGCAAGCGUUGUCCGGAUUUAUUGGGCGUAAAGCGAGCGCAGGCGGUUUCUUAAGUCUGAUGUGAAAGCCCCCGGCUCAACCGGGGAGGGUCAUUGGAAACUGGGAGACUUGAGUGCAGAAGAGGAGAGUGGAAUUCCAGGUGUAGCGGUGAAAUGCGUAGAUAUAAGGAGGAACACCGGUGGCGAAGGCGGCUCUCUGGUCUGUAACUGACGCUGAGGCUCGAAAGCGUGGGGAGCAAACAGG
rnacentral:rRNA from 1 species